UGGCGACCGGCGCACGGGUGCGUAACGCGUAUGCAACCUACCUGUAACAGGGGGAGUAACACUGAGAAAUCGGUACUAAUACCGCAUAACACUAUGAGAGGCAUCUCUUGUGGUUGAAAGUUUCGGCGGUUACAGAUGGGCAUGCGUUGUAUUAGCUGGUUGGUAAGGUAACGGCUUACCAAGGCGACGAUACAUAGGGGGACUGAGAGGUUAACCCCCCACAUUGGUACUGAGACACGGACCAAACUCCUACGGGAGGCAGCAG
rnacentral:rRNA from 1 species